UGGCGGCGUGCCUAAUACAUGCAAGUAGAACGCUGAAGGAGGAGCUUGCUUCUCUGGAUGAGUUGCGAACGGGUGAGUAACGCGUAGGUAACCUGCCUGGUAGCGGGGGAUAACUAUUGGAAACGAUAGCUAAUACCGCAUAAGAGUAGAUGUUGCAUGACAUUUGCUUAAAAGGUGCAAUUGCAUCACUACCAGAUGGACCUGCGUUGUAUUAGCUAGUUGGUGAGGUAACGGCUCACCAAGGCAACGAUACAUAGCCGACCUGAGAGGGUGAUCGGCCACACUGGGACUGAGACACGGCCCAGACUCCUACGGGAGGCAGCAGUAGGGAAUCUUCGGCAAUGGACGGAAGUCUGACCGAGCAACGCCGCGUGAGUGAAGAAGGUUUUCGGAUCGUAAAGCUCUGUUGUAAGAGAAGAACGAGUGUGAGAGUGGAAAGUUCACACUGUGACGGUAUCUUACCAGAAAGGGACGGCUAACUACGUGCCAGCAGCCGCGGUAAUACGUAGGUCCCGAGCGUUGUCCGGAUUUAUUGGGCGUAAAGCGAGCGCAGGCGGUUAGAUAAGUCUGAAGUUAAAGGCUGUGGCUUAACCAUAGUACGCUUUGGAAACUGUUUAACUUGAGUGCAAGAGGGGAGAGUGGAAUUCCAUGUGUAGCGGUGAAAUGCGUAGAUAUAUGGAGGAACACCGGUGGCGAAAGCGGCUCUCUGGCUUGUAACUGACGCUGAGG
rnacentral:rRNA from 1 species